CCGUGCAGCCACACCCCACGACGCUCCUUUCGUCUCUCUGACUCUCGCGCACGAGACCUACCCUCGCCUACCCUAGGUGCGCCGCCGCCGCCAUGGUCUUCAUCUCGCAGCUCCUCAAUCGCCCCGUCGGAGCGGCGUCUCCGUCUACGUACGCCUACUCGCGGUUGUCCUCUUUCUCCUGUAUUCCCUAAAGGUGCAGCAGGGAGCAUCUUUUUCUUGAGGCGGCGAUGAGCUACAUCCCCAAAUCGGUGGCGCACUAAAUCCCUGAAGCAUGUGUUCGAUUUUUCAAGCCAUGUCUGGAGUUCUCACGCGCGCCGUCGCGAGAUCCACCACGUCGAGCAACCAGCCGGAGGGGGGAUUUUAUAAUUCACUGUUAAAAUGUGGAGUCGUGACGAGACCAGGUUACUUGCAGAGAGGUUAGCAGGGCGACACGUCCCUGCUUCGGGCCUCACGGACCUCACGCCGAUCAGGUGGUGUCCAUACUGGUUGGAGUCAAUUGUUUCGGGUAAAUCUUGGAGACUGGUUCUGGCAUUUUGAUUUGGGGAAUCUUUUAGUCUUCAAUCUCAAAUGGCCAUUGGACAGGUUAUUACUAGCGCAUUUUGGGAAUUCUUAAGUUUCCACCCCCGGUGGAUAGCGGCACUUAAUUUUGUUUUAAAGUUCUCUAUUUGUUGAUUUGGUUUUCCAUCAUUCCAAGUUAAAUGGAUUUGUGCAGAUUUUCUCUAAAGUAAAUGAUUGGUCAAGGCAGAUGAUUACCGACGCUAGAGUAGCAAUUAAGCAGAUUUUCUCUAAGAAUUACUUCAUGUUCUGGUUCCUUUUUCUGUUAUGUCUUGUGAGCAUACACAAAGAUGUCCAGGGAAUAUAUAUCUUCUCCAAGAAGCAAAGGUAAAAUCUAAUUAGAAGAACGCAUGUUUUUAUUAGUAACACCUAACCUCCUUAUUGGAAAUGGGUGCCACCAGACGUGUGUAUGGAUGCUAGGUCAAUUUUUUGUAGUUAUCCACUAACCCGGAAAACACUACGGAACUUGUUCGGCUCUUAGAAUCAGACAUCACAGAGCAGCCAUUCCGGCAAUUCUCAAAUGUUGAUGUCCAUUCCAAGCUUUACAUAGAUAUCUUUCCUUAAAAUAAAUAAAUUAUAGUUAGAAACAAGCCCGUCAUAAAGGAGGAUCUACAGUUAGCAAUUUUAUUUCAAUAGAUUGAAGAAAUGAAUGAAAAACAUGGUUUUUGUUAUAUAUGUGAGUAUACUAUUCGAAUCCUUCUUGCUAUUUUUAUGAGGCAUCACUUCACAAUUUUUAUUUAUGGAGCUUCCUUCAGUCUGUAGUCUAUAGAUGCAACUUUAUUUAUUGGUCCAUACAUUUUCUAUAGAUGACAUCUCAAGCACUUGCUCAAAUAAAUUAUAAUUUAUUUAUACAGGCUGGUGCUGAUGUGAAUAAAAUUGACUAUAUGGGCAUUACUUGAUGGCAGCAAUGAACAGUGUCCUACCUGGUGCCAAUUUGUCUGCGAGCUACCAAUUGAGCAUCGAACGGAGAUGGAAGUAUUGUGCUCGUGCUGAUGGUGCAUGUAUGUACGUGUAGCUGACUGAGGAUGACACAUUGCUUCUUAAAGUUUAGUGCUAUGGCUUGGGGAAGUGGCAAAUUUGACAAUUUUGACCUCGGGACGAAAUCAUUUCACAGAAUGAACUGGGUGCGAAACUAUUUCACUCCUCUGACCUUUUUGUGUAGCGUCCGCCACGCCAGCGCCACACCGUACUAUGCAGCGCCUAGCGCGGCGGCGUUGCACACCUGUCCACCGUGGCAGCCCCUGGGCCCGCACCCAGCAGUGCAGCGCCUGGACGCUGGGCGCCACAUAUGUAAUGUGCAGCGCCUAGCGGCUAGGCGCUGCACUGUGACUUAUCCAGCCACUUUGCUGGCCCCCCUCCCCCACCCCCCACACCACACACUCUCCCACUCUCUCCCCAAGCUUUGGCCCCUCUCCCCCUCUCAAAUCCUCUCCCAAAUCUUGCAAAUUUGAAGAAUUUGUCCGUGGAUUUCGAAGUCAAACCCUCCCUCAAGGUAUGGCGGCUUUCCAACCCAAUAAACCAACGAUGAAGGAGGAUGGCGAAGACGGGAUGGUGGGAGAAGGCUGCGAAGAAGAUUAGAGAGGAGGAUGCAGCCAAGCUAAAGAAGAAGAAGGAAGAGGAGCUUGAGAAGGAGAGGAAGGCAAAACAGAGAGCGUCAAAUGCGAUGCGCGCUAGGGAGCAAGUGUUGAUGAGGAAAUGUGAGGAGGCACAGAAGAAGCGUCAACAGGAUUUUGAAGAAAGAACCAUGAAGCUUUGGGCAAUUGCAGCUGAAAAAGAAGAGAGGGACAAUCAGAUAUUCAUGGAGAGGGUGGUUAAGGAGGCUCACCUCAUAAAAAAAAGGAGGAGGAAGAGGAAGAAGAGAGGAAGAAGAAGGGAAAGGGGCCUUGCUCUACGCAAUAGAGCUAUGUCGUCCUCUUCGAUUU